rnacentral:rRNA from 1 species
ACCUACGGGGGGCAGCAGUAGGGAGUUUUCGUCAAUGGGCGCAAGCCUGAACGAGCAAUGCCGCGUGAACGAGGAAGGUCUUCGGAUCGUAAAGUUCUGUUGAAGGGGAAAAAGAGCGGAGAGAGGAAAUGGUCUCCGAUUGAUAUUACCCUUCGAGGAAGUCACGGCUAACUACGUGCCAGCAGCCGCGGUAAUACGUAGGUGGCGAGCGUUAUCCGGAAUGAUUGGGCGUAAAGGGUGCGUAGGCGGCCUGCUAAGUUUGGAGUGAAAGGUACCGGCUCAACCGGUACAGGCUCUGGAAACUG